GGAGGAGGGCACGGAGGUGGAGGGCACGGAGGCGGAGAGCACGGAGGAGGACAUGGAGCAGGGAAGAAACACGCUGUCAUGAAGUGCGUUGAUGGUGACAGUAGUGAGGAGAAGUAAACACUAACUUGAGUGCGAAGGUGUCUGACUGUAUCACUCCGCCAGAAAAUGACGUAUGCCACACAGUGGAAACUAAGAUCCGGUUUGGACAAUGGGAAUUUAGAUGGCAAUAAAACUGAUAUGUUUCUGUGACAAAUAUAUACUGUAUAGACAUACAUACUAUAUAUACAGAUAUUUUAUAUACAAUAAGAUCCAGGUUUGGACAAUGCAAAUUUAGAUGGCAAUAAAAUUGGUAUGUUUCUGUGACGCAUAUCAUAUAGACAGAUAUUAUAUAGACAGAUAUUUUAUACACAAUAAUAUCGUUCACCUUAUAUUUGUAUAUACAUGAUAAAACAAGAUUGUAUUUAGAAUAAAAAUAUUAUAGUUACG